rnacentral:rRNA from 1 species
GGGUCAGUAGGUUGGUCGUGCCACCGGUACGUACUGGUCUCACUGAUCCCCCCUUCCUGAAGAACCGUAAUGCCAUUAAUUUGGUGUUGCGGGGAAACAGGACUGUUACUUUGAAAAAAUUAGAGUGUUUAAAGCAAGCUAACGCUUGAAUACAUUAGCAUGGAAUAAUGAAAUAGGACGAUCGAUCCUAUUUUGUUGGUUUCUAGGAUUGACGUA